rnacentral:lncRNA from 1 species
CUGACAACAAAACAAGAAAAAUAUACUUCAAUGAAGUUUGACUCAAGAAAAUUAAUAUACAUCAAUGAAGUAACAGGGUAGGGAGGAUCCAGAUAUUUAGGGACAAAUAUGGUUCCAUGAUAGCAUUGUAAAUGCUUAAGAUGCAGUUUACCCAGCUUUCAAUGGUGUAAACCUUAUCAUAUUCACAGGAUCCUUUCACCCCCAGCUGAUGUGGGAAGUAUAAUUACAUAGUCAUACGUGAGACUGUUACGAGAAGGGGAAGCAGAGAAAGAACUGAAACUGGAUACGUUGAAAUAAAAUUGUAUUCAUUACUCUAAUGAGUGAUUACACAGGUUCUCAUAUUUAUGAGUUACACAAGAAGCUUAUGAGAGAAGCUAUAGUAACUACCAAAUUCUGUUAUGACAACACAUAAAUAACAGCCAGCUGGCACAUCACAUGUGCAGAUAACAGAAUUCGAAACUGGAUACGUUGAAAUAAAAUUGUAUUCAUUACUCUAAUGAGUGAUUACACAGGUUCUCAUAUUUAUGAGUUACACAAGAAGCUUAUGAGAGAAGCUAUAGUAACUACGAAAUUCUGUUAUGACAACACAUAACUAACAGCCAGCUGGCACAUCACAUGUGCAGAUAACAGAAUUCCAAAGACACUAACAGAAUUACAAAUGUUAUUCAAACUAACACAUACAGUACCAGAGAAAAUAAUAUAACUAGUAUUUGAAUCAAUGAUGUUCUAAGUCAAAGAUGUUGGUCUGAUCAUCUCAAAAUGCAUAUAUCUUGUAAAGUACAAUUUAAUGCUUA